AUCAAAGAAGGUAAUAAUCCUGUAGUCGAAAAUGUUGUCUCUCUUGAGUGGAUCCUGAGUACGACGGAGCACGUGAAAUUCCGUCGGAAUCUGGGAGGACCAUCUCCUAAGGCUAAAUACUCUCUAGUGACCGAUAGUGAACCAGUACCGUGAGGGAAAGGUGAAAAGCACCCCGGAAGGGGAGUGAAAUAGAACCUGAAACCGUGUGCUUACAAGUAGUCAGAGCCCGUUAAUGGGUGAUGGCGUGCCUUUUGUAGAAUGAACCGGCGAGUUACGAUUUGAUGCAAGGUUAAGCAGUAAAUGUGGAGCCGUAGCGAAAGCGAGUCUGAAUAGGGCGUUUAGUAUUUGGUCGUAGACCCGAAACCAGGUGAUCUACCCUUGGUCAGGUUGAAGUUCAGGUAACACUGAAUGGAGGACCGAACCGACUUACGUUGAAAAGUGAGCGGAUGAACUGAGGGUAGCGGAGAAAUUCCAAUCGAACCUGGAGAUAGCUGGUUCUCUCCGAAAUAGCUUUAGGGCUAGCCUCAAGUGAUGAUUAUUGGAGGUAGAG
rnacentral:rRNA from 1 species